GCGAGGUGUAGUUCGGUAGGCCCA
rnacentral:siRNA from 1 species